rnacentral:rRNA from 1 species
UACAGAGGGUGCGAGCGUUAAUCGGAAUUACUGGGCGUAGAGCGUGCGUAGACGGUAGCGUAAGUCAGAUGUGAAAGCCCCGGGCUCAACCUGGGAAUUGCAUUUGAGACUGCUCUGCUCGGGUGCGGAAGAGGGAAGCGGAAUUUCCGGUGUAGCGGUGAAAUGCGUAGAUAUCGGAAGGAACACCAGUGGCGAAAGCGGCUUCCUGGUCCGACACCGACGUUCAGGCACGAAAGCGUGGGGAGCAAACAGGA